rnacentral:rRNA from 1 species
UACGAGAAAAACCGCUAAACAAACUUCGAGACGUGAUUGUAUUAGUCGUACACGAAAAGUACAGCUGUACACAAGUACGAUCUAUUACAACUUGACCCGUACUACUUGAACUUCGUUUGCUGUUACGGUGCUUAUGUUAAUAAGCUGCUCCUCUGGGACUUUGCCUACUAGGAGCACACGAGUCGUUCUUUCGAUCCCUCUUGUUAGAAGUAUCAGGGACUCCGUUCUGUGACCUUACGGUACACGAUGUGUACCGUGUUGACCGUCUUGCUCUUCGUACCGUUCUUCUUUCGUUACCUCGUGUUCCGACUUCCGAGUCGUUUAGUCAUACGUGAGCAGUCAGUGUUGGGUCUCUGGUGAGCUGCCCCUCUCAUAUGGUUACGCCUGUGUUCGUUGGAACGUGUCUGUGUAUUUUCGUAGUAGCUUAAGUCGGGGCCGCUGAUGCGAGCGACCUAGGUCUACGUUUUGGGUCUCGACCGGCGAAGAGGUAAUCCUACCCGUGAUUUUCUCGUGUUGCGUUUCACACACGUAUAGCGUUUACUUUACUCUUCCUUGUAACGUUGACUCUUGUAAGCUAAGUGUUUUUUUGACGACAUCCACAUGUGACAGUUUGGUUUAAACUGUUGUGGGCGUAGGUUACGUAGAAUAGCGCGACAGUUUUGGCGUGGUCCGCAGUCACCAAGACCAAGUGUGUUGCGUCUUCGUGGCUCGUCUGAGCGUGUUGUUUAUCAACCUUCUUCCGACCUCAACAGUAGAGGUAGGAACUGCGGGCAAUUUACGCGGUUUGGUCACCAGAACUGGUAGCGGCUGGUUAACAAGUGUUGUGGAUGAUCCCCGGUUUUCGCUCGUUCCCGUCUGCUGCGCGGUCUGCGUGGUAGUAAGCUUAACCUGUAUCUGCUUGUGUUACUUCGAUCAUGCGGACAAUUCUUCCUACCUUUUCGGUGAGACUAAAGUGGAUGCAGCCGCUGUUUCUGUGUGAGUCUGGUGGAUCACCCGGUCGAUUACUACGAAUUGUUACUCUAACCUCUGUGGCUCCCUGUAUAACAGAAACCAGUUCAGUUGUAGUGCCGACAUUGUUUCUAGUUUCGAUGGGUGUGGCCAAAGUGGUUUCUGGGUACCAGCUCGUUGACCAACCACGCGUGUGCCCGGCACGCAAGAUUUUCGGUAGUCUCUUACCUACGCUAGUUCUUGUGGGAUACUGGAUCGUUCCCAGAGUGUGGGACUGGGUGCCUAGUAACGUCAGUCGCCGUUACGGUAGUUCAGUGUUUAUACGUUAACAAGACUUAACCUGGUGCUCGAACCCAGCAACUAGCAGGCCGCUUAACCUGUCUACCUCAGUGUACGUGUGGCACGGUCGGGGCUGCUUGAUAUGGCCAACGAGGAGCUCGGGCUAAAACGCACAGUGCGGAAACGUCCCCUUUUAUGGUGUUCUUAGUACAGUUAUGUUUCCGUUCAGUAGCUUUUACUUCACUUCACGUUGUAGCGUUUGACAGCCUACCAAUGUUAGGGGCGGCAGUACGUUGUACCAACCACGACGAAGUUGACCCUGUACUACCGGGUGCACUAUUGGUAUUACCUGGGUUACCGUAUGGUCUGUCUCCUGUGUUGUGCCUUUUGAACAAAAUACAUGCGCCGACUGUUCUAUGUGCUGCGAGAAAAACUAACGUAACUUCUUAAGAAGUGGCUCACCGUGACGUCGUCUGUAAGUACCUGCUUCUUCAGUGGAGAUGACAGAUGGUGUUGUAAGUGUUCCGGUCUCUCACGGGACACACAGCAGGUGGAUGAUUCUGUUAAGUUUCCCUUAAGUGACCGUUUUGGUGAAUGGUCCCGUCGAUAGCGGUUGCUUUCCCCGAGCGAGGAGUAGCUCGACUAGGUGUACUUUCCGUUGUGGCGGGGAGACGUCGAUCUUCCUGAGCUGUGGUAACGGCUGCGAGACUUACUCUGCUACUUUCUGAAUCCCCAAAUCCACACCGCUUCUCACAAUCAAGAUUACAUAGAUCCUGCCGUGACCUAUUAUUACAUCUUGUUCACAGGGCACCAGCGAGUAAUACAUAGAUGAAAAUUGAUCAUAAAAAGAACAUUAGUCGUUGUAAAUGUAAAGG